UCCCCGUCAAUUCAUUUGAGUUUUAGCCUUGCGGCCGUACUCCCCAGGCGGGGCGCUUAAUGCGUUAGCUGCGGCACGGAACCCGUGGAAGGGAUCCCACACCUAGCGCCCAACGUUUACGGCGUGGACUACCAGGGUAUCUAAUCCUGUUCGCUCCCCACGCUUUCGCUCCUCAGCGUCAGUAUCGGCCCAGAGACCCGCCUUCGCCACCGGUGUUCCUCCUGAUAUCUGCGCAUUUCACCGCUACACCAGGAAUUCCAGUCUCCCCUGCCGAACUCUAGUCUGCCCGUAUCGACUGCAAGCUCGGAGUUGAGCCCCGAGUUUUCACAGCCGACGCGACAGACCGCCUACGAGCUCUUUACGCCCAAUAAUUCCGGACAACGCCUGCACCCUACGUAUUACCGCGGCUGCUGGCACGUAGUUGGCCGGUGCUUCUUCUGCUCCUACCGUCACUCUCGCUUCGUCGGAGCUGAAAGAGGUUUACAACCCGAAGGCCGUCAUCCCUCACGCGGCGUCGCUGCGUCAGGCUUUCGCCCAUUGCGCAAGAUUCCCCACUGCUGCCUCCCGUAGGAGUCUGGGCCGUGUCUCAGUCCCAGUGUGGCCGGUCGCCCUCUCAGGCCGGCUACCCGUCGUCGCCUUGGUAGGCCAUCACCCCACCAACAAGCUGAUAGGCCGCGGGCCCAUCCCUAGCCGCACAAGGCUUUCCACCCCACGGCAUGCACCGUGAAGUCAUAUCCGGUAUUAGACCCAGUUUCCCAGGCUUAUCCCAGAGCUAAGGGCAGGUCACCCACGUGUUACUCACCCGUUCGCCGCUCGUGUACCCCCGAAAGGGCCUUACCGCUCGACUUGCAUGUGUUAAGCACGCCGCCAGCGUUCGUCCUGAGCCAUAAUCAAACUCU
rnacentral:rRNA from 1 species